UACGGAGGGUGCGAGCGUUGUCCGGAAUCAUUGGGCGUAAAGGGCGCGUAGGUGGCCCGGUCAGCGUGCGGUGAAAGCUCGGGGCUCAACCCCGAGUCGGCCGUGCGAACUGCUGGGCUCGAGCACUGUAGAGGCAGGCGGAAUUCCGGGUGUAGCGGUGGAAUGCGUAGAGAUCCGGAAGAACACCGGUGGCGAAGGCGGCCUGCUGGGCAGUGGCUGACACUGAGGCGCGAAAGCGUGGGGAGCGAACAGG
rnacentral:rRNA from 1 species